rnacentral:rRNA from 1 species
UACGUAGGAGACAAACGUUAUCCGGAGUUACUGGGCGUAAAGGGCGUGUAGGUGGUAAUGUAAGUCUGGCGUGAAAUUUUUCGGCUUAACCGGGAAAGGUCGUCGGAGACUGCAUAACUAGAGGACGGUAGAGGCGUGUGGAAUUCCGGGUGUAGUGGUGAAAUGCGUAGAGAUCCGGAGGAACACCAGUGGCGAAGGCGACACGCUGGGCCGUACCUGACACUGAUGCGCGACAGCAUGGGGAGCAAACAGG